rnacentral:rRNA from 1 species
GGAUGAACGCUGGCGGCGUGCCUAAUACAUGCAAGUCGAACGCGCAGCGAAAGGUGCUUGCACCUUUCAAGCGAGUGGCGAACGGGUGAGUAACACGUGGAUAACCUGCCUCAAGGCUGGGGAUAACAUUUGGAAACAGAUGCUAAUACCGAAUAAAACUUAGUAUCGCAUGAUACAAAGUUGAAAGGCGCUACGGCGUCACCUAGAGAUGGGUCCGCGGUGCAUUAGUUAGUUGGUGGGGUAAAGGCCUACCAAGACAAUGAUGCAUAGCCGAGUUGAGAGACUGAUCGGCCACAUUGGGACUGAGACACGGCCCAAACUCCUACGGGAGGCUGCAGUAGGGAAUCUUCCACAAUGGGCGAAAGCCUGAUGGAGCAACGCCGCGUGUGUGAUGAAGGCUUUAGGGUCGUAAAGCACUGUUGUAUGGGAAGAAAUGCUAGAAUAGGGAAUGAUUCUAGUUCGACGGUACCAUACCAGAAAGGGACGGCUAAAUAC